CAUGCAAGUCGAGGGGCAGCAUUUCCAGCUUGCUGGAAGAUGGCGACCGGCGCACGGGUGCGCACCGCGUAUGGAACCUACCUUGUACAGGGGAAUAGCCCAGGGAAACUUGGAUUAAUGCCCCGUGGUACCGGCUAACAGCAUUGUUUACCGGUUAAAGCCUUCGGGCGGUACAAGAUGGCCAUGCGUCCCAUUAGCUCGAUGGUAGGGUAACGGCCUACCAUGGCUACGAUGGGUAGGGGCCCUGAGAGGGGGAUCCCCCACACUGGUACUGAGACACGGACCAGACUCCUACGGGAGGCAGCAGUGAGGAAUAUUGGACAAUGGAGGAGACUCUGAUCCAGCCAUGCCGCGUGCAGGAAGAAUGCCCUAUGGGUAGUAAACUGCUUUUAUACGGGAAGAAAAAGGGCCACGUGUGGCCUGUUGACGGUACCGUAAGAAUAAGGACCGGCUAACUCCGUGCCAGCAGCCGCGGUAAUACGGAGGGUCCGAGCGUUAUCCGGAAUUAUUGGGUUUAAAGGGUCCGUAGGCGGGCGUUUAAGUCAGUGGUGAAAGUCUGCAGCUCAACUGUAGAAUUGCCUUUGAUACUGAACGUCUUGAGUCAUGGUGAAGUUGGCGGAAUAUGUAGUGUAGCGGUGAAAUGCAUAGAUAUUACAUAGAACACCGAUUGCGAAGGCAGCUGACUAACCAUGUACUGACGCUGAUGGACGAAAGCGUGGGGAGCGAACAGGAUUAGAUACCCUGGUAGUCCACGCCGUAAACGAUGGAUACUAGCUGUCCGGGUCCUUGAGACCUGGGCGGCCAAGCGAAAGUGAUAAGUAUCCCACCUGGGGAGUACGUUCGCAAGAAUGAAACUCAAAGGAAUUGACGGGGGCCCGCACAAGCGGUGGAGCAUGUGGUUUAAUUCGAUGAUACGCGAGGAACCUUACCAGGGCUUAAAUGCAUUUUGACAGGGGUGGAGACACCUUUUCCUUCGGGCAAUUUGCAAGGUGCUGCAUGGUUGUCGUCAGC
rnacentral:rRNA from 1 species